rnacentral:lncRNA from 1 species
UUUAAAGGUCACCUUGGCCGCAUCUGAUUUCUACCUCUCCCCGACCAAAACCCUCCUCAUCUGAGUCUAAAACCCAGCCUCCUUGUACAAUCUUCCUGGCAUCAAAAUCACCUCUAUCUAUUUCUCAGGUUCGUUUAGUUUCUUUUCCUCUGUGUUCUUUAUAUAUAUUUAACUCUUUCCGCAUAAAUGUCCAAAGCGUGAAACCCUUUUGUCUAUACAGUCGUGGAUUGAGUAUGUCUAUCAUAGAAUUCACUCACCAGUUUCAUGAUUGUUUUCAUUUGCUGCAAAUUCGUGCAAUCAUAUGUUCUUGCUAACAGAGAAACUAUUUUACAACGACUAUUAUAGCUGGUUUUGACUUCAGAUAAAAGAAGAGUGUGCUGUAAUAGCUAUAAAAUACUACAAAGAAUUAAUAUAGUCCACCCCUACUAGUUUGAGAUUAAGGCCUAAUUUAUUAAUAGGGGCAAACUAGGGAUGCUACUUUAUUUUCCAAUGGUGUACAGGAACUAUAGAUUUUUGCUUAUUUGCUUGGUUUUAUCAAAUGUAUUGUGGGUGUUCUUUCUAUUGGUCAAAAGAAAAGAGUGUUCUUGAAAAAAAAUGUUUUUUUUUUGUAGCAAAGCAAUCGACGUUUUAUGGUGGAUUCAUAGAUUUCUCUAGCAAAAAAUUGAUGUAGUGGACCUCAACUAGUUUGAGAUUAAGGCUUAAUUGGUUGAUAGAGAGAUGCUGUUUUAUAUUUCCAGUUUAGAGUAAAUGAAUGAUGGGAUUUAGCUAAGUUGCUUGAUUUACGUAUCAAAUUCAGGUGGCUCAAAAGAAAAGUGCCAAGUGAUUGAUUAUAUAUGCUGGAUUCAUGGAUUUGUCUUUAUUACUUGCAGUUGAGUUAUAAAAGUUGGUAAGGACAUGAUAAAAAGGCGAUUUUACAAGCUUGAACAUGGUGAUAGAGAUGCUCCUUCGGAGUCGUCUUCAUCUUCCGAUGACUCUGAAUUGGAGGCAGCGGCAACAGAAGACGAAGAAGAGUAUGAGUAUGAGGAGGAGGAUGAUAAUGACACAAAGGAAGAGGAGGAUGAUGUUGCUCGACUGACAGGAGGAAAUGAAUCUUCUUCUGGUAUGUUUAUCCUGAUAAUUUGCAGUUGCUUUUUGCCUCUAUUAUUUGCUGACAUUAUAAUGCUUAGAGGGUAUUUCAAGAAGUGGUAAUUCUCUAGAGCUUUUGUUUGGUUUCUGGAUUAGUAAAACUAAUGGCUGGUACGUUUAGACGAUUGUUUAUUACUCCACAAGAACAUAAGUUAUGGUCUCUAUUAAGUUAUAAAUCCCACAUAGACCCCUCUAGCUUAAAAGAUCUUGUGCUGCUCCACUCAUUGCUUUGGGUUGGAUGUUCAGAUACUUUGAAGUGUCAUCAGCGGCUCCCUUUGGUAAGCCCAUUCUCACAAUCGUAAGUCCAUAAGUUUGCAUGUGAGCACCAAAAUAGGACAUGUUUGUGAGGGUGUCU